rnacentral:lncRNA from 1 species
GAGAAAUUGGUGCUAAUAUUAUAAUUAUUCUGCUGGAUUCGACUCUGGACUUUUCUUUCCUAUAAUGAUUAGGAGGACGAAACAUGGUGCUAAUAUUGUUCUGCUGAAUUCAAUAUCGAGUAUAGACAUUUUCUUUACUUUUGUGUAAAGGUGUGCUUAUAUUUUUCUGCAGGAUUCGAUAACAGAAUUUCCUUUAUUUUGGUGAUAAAAAGGAUAUAACAUGGUGCUAAAUGAACUCGAAUAAAAAAGUUGAAAAGGCAAAAUAACAUUGAAAAGCAAUGACGAAAACCAAAAGGUGUUGCCAAGUACAGCUAAGGUAAUCUGAUCCCGGGAUAGAAAUCCUUUGUAUAUCGAAAAAGUAUAAACAGUAUAUCUAUAACCAUGACCUUUUGAUUGAUAAUUCAUGUCAAUGUCAAC